rnacentral:rRNA from 1 species
GACGAACGCUGGCGGCGUGCUUAACACAUGCAAGUCGAACGGAAAGGCCCUGCUUUUGUGGGGUGCUCGAGUGGCGAACGGGUGAGUAACACGUGAGUAACCUGCCCUUGACUUUGGGAUAACUUCAGGAAACUGGGGCUAAUACCGGCUAGGAGCUCCUGCUGCAUGGUGGGGGUUGGAAAGUUUCGGCGGGUGGGGAUGGACUCGCGGCUUAUCGGCUUGUUGGUGGGGUAGUGGCUUACCAAGGCUUUGACGGGUAGCCGGCCUGAGAGGGUGACCGGGCACAAUGGGACUGAGGGAGGGACCAGACUCCUACGGGGGGCAACAGGGGGGAAUAUUGCACAAUGGGCGGAAGCCUGAUGCAGCAACGCCGCGUGCGGGAUGACGGCCUUCGGGUUGUAAACCGCUUUCGCCUGUGACGAAGCGUGAGUGACGGUAAUGGGUAAAGAAGCACCGGCUAACUACGUG